UCCGUAGGGGAACCUGCGGAGGGAUCAUUACACAAAUAUGAAGGCGGGCUGGAACCUCUCGGGGUUACAGCCUUGCUGAAUUAUUCACCCUUGUCUUUUGCGUACUUCUUGUUUCCUUGGUGGGUUCGCCCACCACUAGGACAAACAUAAACCUUUUGUAAUUGCAAUCAGCGUCAGUAACAAAUUAAUAAUUACAACUUUCAACAACGGAUCUCUUGGUUCUGGCAUCGAUGAAGAACGCAGCGAAAUGCGAUAAGUAGUGUGAAUUGCAGAAUUCAGUGAAUCAUCGAAUCUUUGAACGCACAUUGCGCCCUUUGGUAUUCCAAAGGGCAUGCCUGUUCGAGCGUCAUUUGUACCCUCAAGCUUUGCUUGGUGUUGGGCGUCUUGUCUCUAGCUUUGCUGGAGACUCGCCUUAAAGUAAUUGGCAGCCGGCCUACUGGUUUCGGAGCGCAGCACAAGUCGCACUCUCUAUCAGCAAAGGUCUAGCAUCCAUUAAGCCUUUUUUUCAACUUUUGACCUCGGAUCAGGUAGGGAUACCCGCUGAACUUAAGCAUAUCAAUAAGCGGAGGA
rnacentral:rRNA from 2 species